rnacentral:tRNA from 1 species
AUUCAAAUAGCUUAAUAUAAAGAGCAUGGUAUUGAAGAUACUAAGGUAAUUUUUUAAUUUUUGAGUA